rnacentral:lncRNA from 1 species
CCAGAGCAUGGCCCAAGCCCACGCACAGGCCGGCCCAAGCCCAUGCACCACUAGGAGCCUGAUUGCCUGAUCCACCAUGGAUCGGGCGGUGCACAAGAGUCUGCAUGGACCGUAGAGGCAUUUUCCAUGCAUUUUGUGUGGUAUACAGCACUGUUUCGUGGAUCGAAGCAUGAUCAAAGGACAUAGGUUGAUCAUGAUCUCGAUCCGAUAGCUUAGGGGGUUUUAUGGGCUUGAUUGGGUCUGAUUAGGAGUCCUAAACCCAAUCUAAGUCAUAUUUAAAGCCUGUGAAUGUGAACAGAAGAGGGAUGGUGGCUG